AGAGUUUGAUCCUGGCUCAGAAUGAACGCUGGCGGCAUGCCUAACACAUGCAAGUCGAACGAGACCUUCGGGUCUAGUGGCGCACGGGUGCGUAACGCGUGGGAAUCUGCCCCUUGGUUCGGAAUAACAGUUGGAAACGACUGCUAAUACCGGAUGAUGACGUAAGUCCAAAGAUUUAUCGCCGAGGGAUGAGCCCGCGUAGGAUUAGGUAGUUGGUGUGGUAAAGGCGUACCAAGCCGACGAUCCUUAGCUGGUCUGAGAGGAUGAUCAGCCACACUGGGACUGAGACACGGCCCAGACUCCUACGGGAGGCAGCAGUGGGGAAUAUUGGACAAUGGGCGAAAGCCUGAUCCAGCAAUGCCGCGUGAGUGAUGAAGGCCUUAGGGUUGUAAAGCUCUUUUACCCGGGAUGAUAAUGACAGUACCGGGAGAAUAAGCUCCGGCUAACUCCGUGCCAGCAGCCGCGGUAAUACGGAGGGAGCUAGCGUUAUUCGGAAUUACUGGGCGUAAAGCGCACGUAGGCGGCUUUGUAAGUAAGAGGUGAAAGCCCAGAGCUCAACUCUGGAAUUGCCUUUUAGACUGCAUCGCUUGAAUCAUGGAGAGGUCAGUGGAAUUCCGAGUGUAGAGGUGAAAUUCGUAGAUAUUCGGAAGAACACCAGUGGCGAAGGCGGCUGACUGGACAUGUAUUGACGCUGAGGUGCGAAAGCGUGGGGAGCAAGCAGGAUUAGAUACCCUAGUAGUCC
rnacentral:rRNA from 1 species